AUAGCCGAAUCCGUGGUCGCGAGGCUUCGGAAAUGUGGCGUAUGGGAGGGGAUCCUCCCGUUGAGGAAAACAGCUCAAGUCUCCAUGAGAGGGGCAUGCUGCCCGGAGUGGGUGCUAGGCCCUUACCGCCGGGAUCCUCGGCGGGAGUCGCCGUUCUCCCAGGAGUCGGGUUGCUUGGGAGUGCAGCCCAAAGAGGGUGGUAAACUCCACCUAAAGCUAAACACCACCGAAAGACCGAUAGCAAACAAGUACCAUGAGGGAAAGUUGAAAAGCACUUUGAAGAGAGAGUUCAAGAGUAUGUGAAACCAUUUGGAGGUAAAUGGAUGGGGCUUUGAAAGCCUAGGGCAGUGGCAGAUUCAGCCUUCGUGGACCCCUUUCCCCGGGCCACAUCCACACCGAGAGGUGAGGCAGCACCGGGAAGAAGGUGGGGGCCCGGGGGGGCACACUUCCACACCCUGCCCAGCGGGAUGCUGUGAGGGGUUGGGCAGCUGUCAAGGGGCCACGCCAAAAGGUGGCCAUUCUUCUUCGGAUUGACGGUGUUACAGGCGGCGUAGAUCCAGCGAAGCCACCCGACCGAGGUGGAGGAAUUCCUUGACGACCUUCCCUGCGGAGAGUGGCCGCAGGGAUGGGCCCCUUUGGCCGGCCGGGUGCCACCUCAAGGGGUGAGCUCGGCGGGUCGUGGGAUGCCCCGAGUGUGGUGGGGGAAGGAGAGGUCGGCAGUGAGUAGAUCGGUUUCCGACCUGACCCAUCUUGUAACACGGACCAAGGAAUCCAAAUCACCUGCCAGUCCCCGGGACUUGAUUAGGCCCUCGGGUGCAAUGAAGGUGAAGUGCAGCCGAUGUUGCCCCAGUUGGGAUCCCCUCUCCUUUCGGAGUGGGCGCACCAACAUCCUGUUGCAUUCCAUUCUCGGUGCGGCGGUGAAGGAGCAGGUGGUUUGGGACCUGAAAAAUGGUGAACUAUGCCCGGGCAGGAUGAAGCCAGAGGAAACUCUGGUGGAGGUCUGUAGUGAUUYUGAUGUGCAAAUUGAUCAUCAGACCCAGGUAUA
rnacentral:rRNA from 1 species